rnacentral:lncRNA from 1 species
UUUCGAAGGAUGAGAUGGCUAAACAGAAAGGCCCUGUCCAGUCAUUUGCAAUCAGACUUCGCCUGGUGGUUGCUACACUGACUGACUUGAGGGGGUGUCAGGGGUGUGGGGACCUCUGGGAAGAAGAUCCUGGAGACCCAACAGUAGUUGGUGAGGAACCACCAUGACUUGGUUUCAGAGUCCGCUGGUUUGGAGCAGAAAGGUAGGAACUGUAUCCUGCCCAUUCUCUCGUCCUGCUUCCCCAGACCUCUGACUCUGUCUUCUCUUUCCGCAGGAAAAUUACGGCACCAGCUGGGAGCUGCAAAUGCCUGUGGGGGUCCCAGUUGCUGCUGGUGUCCUGGCCCUCCUGGCCCUCCUGGCGUUGGCUUACCAUUGUCUCAAAGAGGCCUGGAGGUCCAGAUGCCAGCAGCCCUUGCCAUGAGGGCUGGAGGUGUCCUCAAACUGGAGAGAGCUACAGCUUGUCUUCAUCCACAGCCCGGGUCAGGGCCAGCUGGCGACCCUCUCUUCAGAGCCUCAUGGCCCUCUACAGCCUUCCCUACUGUCCCUCUGAAGACCCUACUGGUACCAGGACAGCCCCUCGGCUUUGGGUCUGAAGAGACCUCCGUGUUUCAGAGGAGGUCGUGGUAUUGGCCAAGCACCCUGCACCUGUUAAUGUGGAUGAAGGAUUGAAUCCAUGGGAGGAGGGUAAUGUGGGGUGAGGGCUGGAUCCUCAUCCCUCGGGUGUCAGGCAUGAGGGAGGGGACACACUAGCAGAACUGUCUGUUGUCUCUGGGUUGUGGCAUCAAGGCUUUCUCUCCCCAGAGUCACCUCAAGAAGUCAAGGCCCUGGUUACUCCAUCUUAGCAGUAGCCUGUUCCUCUGGGGGUGCGGUAGGGGUGACACUGUGACCCAAAGGGGAGCCAUGGACUAGAAGCAAAAGCACAAGGCCCUCGCGAGUGGCCAAUGAAUGUCUCAGCAGGCAGAGGAAGCUAUGUCUGACCUCCACUCCCCAAAUCUCUGUCAUUGCCCAGGCAGAGCUUUGGGGUCUCAUGUCCCAGCUGGCUCCUUCCUGGGACCAUGGCAAGGGCCACUGCAAUCUCACCCUUUGUAGUCCCUGAGUUCUCUUGGCUGAGCCCAGGCACCAGAGAAGGCAGGGCCUACUGAAGCACAUCAGGGGUCCCUGGCUGGUGAGCAGUAAGCCUGUGGAACUUUCUGGGUCAGGACACUGCUGCAGGCCCCCUGUGUCCACUGUGACCUGGACUCCUGAGAUCACCCAGGAUCACCUCAUUAUUUUUUUGCUGAGCUUCCCUGGGUCAGGGAGGGUGAAUUAGUAAUGGCAGGUUAGUUAGGCCAUGGCAAGUCGAAUCUGAAAGUGAUUCCUGCCCCUGCUGAUGCACAGGCUCACCAGCCAGUUCUCUGGAGUGUAGACGUAACCCUGCAUGCACCAACACUCUUCUCUGACUAUGUCACACUGUGUGGAGAUGGUGGAGGGAUUGAUGCAGAUUAAUUAUAGUCUCUAAUUAAUUAAACUGUCUCUGAGUUAAGUAAGAGAUGGGGACAGGAACACUGGUGCAUGCCUGUGGUCUAAGCUAAAUGUGGCAGGUUGAGGCAGCAGAAUGACUUGGGUCUAGGACUCAAGGUCAGCCUGGAUAACAAAGCACUGCCUGGCCUUAACUCUCAGUGGGGUCUGCUAUGUAGCUCAGGCAGGCGUGCAAAUUGUUAGGUAGCCCCAUCGGGCCUCAUCUGAGAUCCUCAUACCUUGAUUCCCUGAGUACUGGGACUAUAGGCACAUAGAAUUUGAGACCUUGAUUCUCAAAAACAAAAAAAACAAAAACAAAAACAAAAACAAAAAA